rnacentral:rRNA from 1 species
UACGGGGGGGGCAAGCGUUGUUCGGAAUUACUGGGCGUAAAGGGCGCGUAGGCGGCUUGGCAAGUGGAUGGUGAAAUCCCUCGGCUUAACCGAGGAACUGCCAUCCAGACUGCUUUGCUUGAGGCCGGGAGAGGUGAGUGGAAUUCCCAGUGUAGCGGUGAAAUGCGUAGAUAUUGGGAGGAACACCAGUGGCGAAGGCGGCUCACUGGACCGGUUCUGACGCUGAUGCGCGAAAGCGUGGGGAGCGAUCCGG